rnacentral:rRNA from 1 species
AUUGAACGCUGGCGGCAGGCCUAACACAUGCAAGUCGAGCGGAGCGGCGGACGGGUGGGUAAUGCCUAGGAAUCUGCCUGGUAGUGGGGGAUAACGUCCGGAAACGGGAGCUAAUACAGCAUACUAUCAGAUGAGCCUUGGUCUGGUUGGCUAGUGGGUGGGGUAAAGGCCUACCAAGGCGACGAUCCGUAACUGGUCUGCGAGGAUGAUCAGUCACAGUGGAACUGAGACACGGUCCAGACUCCUACGGGAGGCAGCAGUGGGGAAUAUUGGACAAUGGGCGAAAGCCUGAUCCAGCCAGGCCGCGUGUGUGAAGAAGGUCGUCGGAUUUUAAGGCAUGUUAAGUUUGGAGGCGUUACCAACAGAAUAAGCACCGGCUAACUUCGUGCCAGCAGCCGCGGUAAUAC